rnacentral:rRNA from 1 species
AAUGAACGCUGGCGGCAUGCCUAACACAUGCAAGUCGAACGAAGGCUUCGGCCUUAGUGGCGCACGGGUGCGUAACGCGUGGGAAUCUGCCCUCAGGUUCGGAAUAACAGCGAGAAAUUGGUGUUAAUACCGGAUGAUAUCGUGAGAUCAAAGAUUUAUCCCUUGAGGAUGAGCCCGCGUAGGAUUAGCUAGUUGGUGUGGUAAAGGCGCACCAUGGCGACGAUCGUUAGGUGGUAUGAGAGGAUGAUCAGCCACACUGGGACUGAGACACGGCCCAGAUUCGUACGGGAGGCAGCAGUGGGGAAUAUUGGACAAUGGGCGAAAGCCUGAUCCAGCAAUGCCGCGUGAGUGAUGAAGGCCUUAGGGUUGUAAAGCUCUUUUACCCGGGAUGAUAAUGACAGUACCGGGAGAAUAAGCUCCGGCUAACUCCGUGCCAGCAGCCGCGGUAAUACGGAGGGAGCUAGCGUUAUUCGGAAUUACUGGGCGUAAAGCGCACGUAGGCGGCUUUGUAAGUUAGAGGUGAAAGCCUGGAGCUCAACUCCAGAAUUGCCUUUAAGACUGCAUCGCUUGAAUCCAGGAGAGGUGAGUGGAAUUCCGAGUGUAGAGGUGAAAUUCGUAGAUAUUCGGAAGAACACCAGUGGCGAAGGCGGCUCACUGGACUGGUAUGA